rnacentral:rRNA from 1 species
AUUGAACGCUGGCGGCAGGCCUAACACAUGCAAGUCGAACGAGUGGCGGACGGGUGAGUAAUUUCUGAGAAAAUGCCUGAUGGAGGGGGAUAACUACUGGAAACGGUAGCUAAUAACGCAUACCAUCGGAUGUGCCCAGAUGGGAUUAGCUAGUCGCGGGGGUAAAGGGUCACCUAGGCGACGAUCCCUAGCUGGUCUGAGAGGAUGACCAGCCACACUGGAACGGAGACACGGUCCAGACUCCUACGGGAGGCAGCAGUGGGGAAUAUUGCACAAUGGGCGCAAGCCUGAUGCAGCCAUGCCGCGUGUAUGAAGAAGGCCUUCGGGUUGUAAAGUACUUUCAGCGGGGAGGCGUUACCCGCACAAGAAGCACCGGCUAACUCCGUGCCAGCAGCCGCGGUAAUAC